rnacentral:lncRNA from 1 species
CCCAAAAACCUUUUUUCACCCCAUUUUAGUACAAACCCCAACCACAUCCCCACCUUUAUACACCUAGCCAAGAUAAUUCUUUACACCGAUGUCAGAACAACAUUUUUACACCUUCUUUUAGAACAACCUUUCUUUAGAACAAUUGAAAAAUAGAUUCAUAAAUUUAGAGAACAAUAAUCAGUUGACUAGAAACCCAAAAGAAUAACCAAAUAACUACUUUCUCAACUUCCAAAAUCAAA